UACGGGGGGAGCGAGCGUUGUUCGGAAUUACUGGGCGUAAAGCGUAUGUAGGCGGCUUUGUAAGACAGAUGUGAGAGCCCAGGGCUUAACCUUGGAAUUGCAUUUGUGACUGCAAGGCUUGAGUGUCGGAGAGGUUGGCGGAAUUCCUAGUGUAGAGGUGAAAUUCGCAGAUAUUAGGAGGAACACCGAUGGCGUAAGCAGCCAACUGGACGACGACUGACGCUGAGAUACGAAAGCGUGGGGAGCAAACAGG
rnacentral:rRNA from 1 species